ACCUUACUCACUCCGUCCAGAAUACUUGUCAUUAAGAUAAAUAAAAGGGGAUGUAUCUAAAUGUAUUUUAGUUCUAAAUACACCCCUUUUUAUCCAUUUUGAUGACAGGUAUUUCCAAACGAAGGGAGUAUAAA
rfam:Triticum urartu cultivar G1812 contig1176770, whole genome shotgun sequence.